UACCAGCACCCCGAGUGGUCGGGACGAUUAUUGGGCCUAAAGCAUCCGUAGCCGGUUCUACAAGUCUUCCGUUAAAUCCACCUGCUUAACAGAUGGGCUGCGGAGGAUACUAUGGAGCUAGGAGGCGGGAGAGGCAAGCGGUACUUAGUGGGUAGGGGUAAAAUCCGUUGAUCCAUUGAAGACCACCAGUGGCGAAGGCGAGUCUCUGGACGACUCCUGACACUGAGGCACGAAAGCUGGGGGAGCAAACAGG
rnacentral:rRNA from 1 species